rnacentral:rRNA from 1 species
UACGUAGGGGGCAAGCGUUGUCCGGAUUUAUUGGGCGUAAAGAGCGUGUAGGCGGUUUGGUAGGUCCGUUGUGAAAACUCGAGGCUCAACCUCGAGACGCCGGCGGAAACCAUCAGGCUAGAGUCCGGAAGAGGAGAGUGGAAUUCCCGGUGUAGCGGUGAAAUGCGCAGAUAUCGGGAAGAACACCCGUGGCGAAGGCGGCUCUCUGGGACGGUACUGACGCUGAGACGCGAAAGCGUGGGGAGCGAACAGG